rnacentral:rRNA from 1 species
AUGGAGGAGUCCUCUUGCAACACGGUGCCCCCGGGGUUCAGGUUCCACCCCACGGAGGAGGAGCUCGUCGGCUACUACCUCGCCCGGAAGGUCUCCUCCCACAAGAUCGACCUCGACAUCAUCCAGGAGGUCGACCUCUACCGGAUCGAGCCGUGGGAUCUUCAAGAGAGGUGCGGCAAGUACGGCGGCGGCGGAGGAGGGCAGGAAGAUCCGACGACGGAGUACUACUUCUUUAGCUACAAGGACCGCAAGUACCCCAGCGGCACGCGCACCAACCGCGCCACGGCCGCCGGCUUCUGGAAGGCCACCGGGAGGGACAAGCCGGUGCUCUCCUCGUCCUCGUCGUCUCCCGCGGCCGUGAUCGGCAUGAGAAAGACGCUUGUCUUCUACCGCGGCCGCGCCCCCAACGGCCGCAAGACCGACUGGAUCAUCCAUGAGUACCGCCUCCAGUCCAACGAGCACGCGCCCACACAGGAGGAAGGGUGGGUGGUGUGCCGCGCGUUCGUGAAGCCGGUGCCCAGCCAGCAGCACAGGCUGUCCUACGGCGGCGGCGGGUACCCGACGAUGAACGGCAGCUACAGCUCCGCCUCCAAUUACUACUACUACGACAACCCUAACGCGCGCCUGAUGGUCGCCGGCGGGGGUCCGCCACAUGAUCAGCAUGUUCUGGCGGCGGAGUCCAAGCAGCAGGUGCAGCUGUUCCCCUCCGACCUGCCGCCGCCACUCCAGAGCCCGACCUUCGACGGCGAGGGCGAGGGCGACAUCUCGCAGAUCAGCGGUGGGUGUAGCAGUGCGGAUCAGCAGCUGGCGGCUGCUGCUGGGACGAUCGACUGGAACCUGUGGAGCAGCUUGCUGCCGUCCACGGCGCCACAGCUCUUCCACGGCCAGACAAUGACGCCGCCGCCGGCAGCCAAUUCGAGCUCCUCCAAGAACACUUAA